CACAAAACAAAACCAACAAUCAAUUCUCAAAACAAAACAUCAUAAAAAUCAUACAAAAUCUUAAAAUUCAAUUCUCAACCUAACAUGUCAUUCUACUAAUCUUCACAACCAACAAAAACAGAUCCAAAGCAAAGCUAUGAUACAAUCAACUGAUAGUUGUUUUUUCAAAGGAUAACUUGCUCAAAGAGAGAACAAGGAACCUGAUAUGAAAACAAUGAACUAUGUUCCACGAGAGAAAGAAAUAGAAGCUUUGUCACUAGCCAGAAAUUGAAAAGCUUCGUCGGAAAUUUAGGGAUUAGGAAUUGGAAUGAAGGAAACAACAUUUUAAGGAUUUAGGUCGAUGACUAGGGAUUUAGUGCUUGUGAUAGAAAACGGCGAUGAAGCAAAUUCAAUCACCAUAAAAUAUCCAUCAACAAAACAUAAGUAGAAAAUGGAAAUACCAUUACAGUCUCUGAAAAUAGCAUUAAAUACCUUUUUGCACAACACCUAUAGAAAGUAAUCAAAAGUUUACAAUCAAGCAUAGUUAGGAACUUGCACUCAUGCUCAGUAAUUAUUAGCAAUGCCCCAACCCCCAAAAUCUAGUACUCAAUC
rnacentral:lncRNA from 1 species